GACGAACGCUGGCGGCGUGCUUAACACAUGCCAGUCGAACGGAAAGGCCCUGCUUUUGUGGGGUGCUCGAGUGGCGAACGGGAGAGUAACACGUGAGUAACCUGCCCUUGACUUUGGGAUAACUUCAGGAAACUGGGGCUAAUACCGGAUAGGAGCUCCUGCUGCAUGGUGGGGGUUGGAAAGUUUCGGCGGUUGGGGAUGGACUCGCGGCUUAUGAGCUUGUUGGUGGAGUAGUGGCUUACCAAGGCUUUGACGGGUAGCCGGCCUGAGAGGGUGACCGGCCACAUUGGGACUGAGAUACGGCCCAGACUCCUACGGGAGGCAGCAGUGGGGAAUAUUGCACAAUGGGCGGAAGCCUGAUGCAGCAACGCCGCGUGCGGGAUGACGGCCUUCGGGUUGUAAACCGCUUUCGCCUGUGACGAAGCGUGAGUGACGGUAAUGGGUAAAGAAGCACCGGCUAACUACGUG
rnacentral:rRNA from 1 species